rnacentral:lncRNA from 10 species
UCUUUUGUUUACUUGAAAUGGAAAGAGGAAAUGACAGUGUAAACAGGGAUAGUUUGUGUCCCAAAGAAGGAAGCCUGGAAACUUAAACCCAGGGUCUCUAAUUCUCACCUCCUGAGAAGACUUUCCAGUGCCAGAGACACUGGCUAGGAGCUGAUUUGUGAGACUCUUUCAGGGACGUGGAGUGCGUCCUGACAGUGCGCAGCUUCCACUCACACAGAGGGCUUCCUAAGCACCGGGCCAGUGCAGAGGCCCUGGCUGUCCUCCACUGGCUUAAAAACCCUUCACAUGGAAUGUCUGAGGUCGGGUGGUGCAGCCCGUCACACACAGAGGCUGCCUGGGGGAGCCUGUUGCUCCCGGGCUGUAAGCCUGCACAGCAUGUGACUGUACUGAAUACCAUAGGCAGUUGUAACACAAUGGUAAGGAUUUGUGUAUUUAAACAUAGAAAAAGUACAGUGAACAUAGGGUAUAAAAUAUUUUUUAAAGGAUGCACCUGUAUAGGGCAGUUGCCAUGAAUGGAGUUUGCAGGGAUGGAAGUUGCUCUGCGUGAGCCAGCGAGCGAGUGGUGAGUGAGUACGAGGGCCUCGGACAUUACUGCACAUCUGUAGACUUUAUAAACACUGUGCACUCAGGCUACACUCAAUUUAUUUUGAAAGGUGAAGUAAUUGUCCUCUAAUGUUACGAUGGCUGCAGCAUCACAGGCGACGGGAAUGUUUCAGCUCCGUCAUAAUCUUAUGGGAGCAUUGUUGCAUGUGUGCUCUAUUGUUGAGUGAAGCAUCUUUAUGUGGCACGUGACUGUACAGUUGAAAGUAAAGGGAGACAGAUUUGUCAUAGGAAAGAGGUUUGGGGAAGAGCUUUGUGUUCUCUGGAGCAAGCGUCCUGCCCACACUCCCAGAGGCCAUCAUCGGUAAGAGGCUGGGAGGAUGAGCCAUAGAUCUCCAUGGAAGCAAGGAGCUUGUAGGACGGGGUGAUUGUGGUGUGUGCCCCGUGACCAGGUCACAUUCAGAAUCAGUGUUCCUUGUCCUACAUCACCCAAGAGUCACCAGGCAGAAUUCCACUAGCUGUCCUGAUGGACACCAUGACCUCUGUGUGUCUGCUCAGAACGUGGGCUCUGAACGUGCCAAGAGCAUCACACAUUUUUAGCAAGUUUGGAAACUCUGGUGUGAUUUGUCUGAAUCAUCACCGCCCUGUCUUGAUCAUGUAAAACACUUUUUCCCUUUGGUCAAGUAUAGUAUAAGUCAUAAGACCUGGCCCCCUCCUAAGAUGGCCCACCUUAGGGACAGCCAUUCCCUUCAGGGCCCACUUUCUGCGCCCACGGACUCAGCAGGCCUCUCACAAGCUGCCAGGUGCUGACAUUCACCAGGGUGUCUUGCCACAGUGGCCGCCAUGACCACCCUAGACAUACAACGUCCUACCCCAGUACAUCAAAAGCAUUUCCACCUGUUGUGGGGAAGUAUGAUGGGACAAAGGCGGCAUGCUUUAAUGGUGAUAAACCGGGACAACCUGUCAAGGUCUGUGCGUUCAGAUUCUUCUCUGUGUCCCUUCGUCGUCAGAGAUAGGCAUAUCUUAGUAAUCUUUGCAUAAUCUUUGGCACAUUGCAAUGAUGUUUUGCAAAUAGUAGGGCUCAAACGUGUGAUGCAUUGAAUACUCGUUAGAAUAUCAAAUAAUCACAUGGUAAAUAUAAGUUUCUUAUUUAAUCAGCCCUUAAUAAAAUAAAAUGGAUUAUGUUCUUGAGUUAGAAAAAUGUAUAGGAAGGGCCGUCAGAGAAAAAUUAACUUAAGUUCAUCAAGUCCAUCAACAAUCUUCCCUCAUGAACGUCUUACAUGUAGUUUUACUUGUUAUGAAAAGACUAUGAAAGUCUCUUUUAUACUUUGUUGAUUUUUUUAAAGAAAGAUGACAAGAGGAGCAUCUAACCUCCAUCCCUUUUUAGCAUUGAUCCUGUGGUCAUCUCGACACCCUGCCUGGCUCGCAUUUCUGCUGAAUCUGAUUAUUAAAGCAGAACAUGUGGCUGAAAGGGGUCUUUAUUGCCCUGGGAUUUCCUGGGUAGGGUAUUCAGACCCACAAAGGAAUAGGAUUUCUGUUCUCUCCUUUUAAUGGCUAUUUCUCAUUCUCCUGUCCCUAGGAAACAUUUUCAUUCUUAUUCAACAACUCUCUGGGUAAACUGAGGCACCGAUUAUAUUUACAUUAGCAGAACUUCAAGUUGUGUAAGCAAAGUAAACUAGAAAAUAAUCUGGCACUCUUGACAAAUUCAAAAUAUAAAUCUCCUAACACUUCCAUUAUGUACACAAAAUAAGCAUUCUAGCCACUCACUGGCCCAGCUGAAUGCCAUUAGGUUAUCAGCUAAGCAGGAGAGUAGAGCCCAGGUUGUAUUUCAGAAAAGGGUGUGGCAUAAUUCAAAAGCUGUGAGCAAGUUUUCCAAAUUUCUUGAAACUGUUUUCACCUCUGCAAAACAGCCAUAUAAUGUCUGCCUCCUAUAGUUAUACCUAAAUUACUUUGUUAUGAAACUGCCUAACAAGGGACUAAUUCAAACAAACACAAAAAGGUGGUUUCUUUCCUCCUCUCCCUUUUUUCUCCAUGAGAGUGCAGAACAAUGAGUAGAGUUCAUGCUUUAAAAAUACAAAUACCAGGCCAAGAACAAAGAGAAGGCACUUCUGGAGGAUGGGGUUAUAUCGGUGUGUUUAGAGACAUUGUGUAAUGAUGGGGUCUUUGUGUCCACGCCCGGGGUCGCCUACCUGUGUCCCAUGUGGGAGGGGCCACAGCAAGGACGUGGAAUCUAAGGGAGCUGUCAGGAAGGUGAGCUGUCUGACUGUGAACUUGCCAUGCAGAGCGCACUGUUGCUGAGAGCUCUGGGCUCUCCUCCCCAGCCAGCCCUGCCUUGCUUUCUGGGCGGGACCUUCACUUCCUAUUCUUGCCUUGAGCGUCUGCCUCACUGAUGUCAGAGCUCCCUUGUUUCUUGUUUGGGUGGGAAUCUCCCUUAGACCCUGAGUCCUUCACACCAGGGGAUGCGUUUUACUCCUUCCAUGUGACUGUCUCUGCUGGAUGGGGUAUUGGCUCCAUGCCCGAGAGGGCUUCUCCAGUCUAUAGAUGCGAAACGACAUUUGUGUCGCAAGAUUCAAGACCAACUGGGAGUGUAGGGAAAUGUUUCUGGAGGGGAUGGGUCUUCACUUAUAUCUCCGUGAGGGAGGGCUGUGGUGUGGAUGGAAAGAAGGCUCCUGUUCCUCAGAGUUAGUGCUUUUGGGAUCAGAGUCUAUGGUACCGGAGUCCAAGGGCCUAAGAACAGCAACCAAAAUGUGUCCAUGGCCUAUCUUGGAGCUAAAGUCUUAUCUGACACUCACAACAACCACCAGGAGAAGGGGAAAGGGAGCCCCAUGGGACUGAGUGAGGUGUCCAAGGACGCAAGCUGGAGCAGGUCUAGACCCAGGCCUGCUGUCCCUGAGCACCUGCUGUCCCUGAGCACCUGCUGUCCCUGAGCACCUGCUGCCCCCUGAGCACCUGCUGUCCCUGACCGCCUACUGCCAACUGAGCACCUGCUGUCCCCUGAGCACCUGCUGCCCCCAACACCUGGUGUCCCUGAGCACCUGCCACCCCCUGAGCACCUGCUGCCCCCGAGCACCUGUUGUCCCUGACCAUCUGCUGUCCCUUUGCACCUACUCCUGUUGCUGUUCUGCCCGGCCUCCUUGGAAGGAGGAGCCACAGGGAUUGACAAUGAUGACAGGGUUGAGGCCAGACCCUGAGCAUCCUCGAGACCGAGCAGGAGAAAGCUGAUCCCUGUAAGAGUUUGGGGCAUUGGAAGAGGAGCCGCCAGGUCCUGGAAUCUAUUAGGAUGAUCCUGUGGGAAUACUUGGCAUGGGAGGCUGUUUUCACAGGUGU